rnacentral:rRNA from 1 species
GACGAACGCUGGCGGCGUGCCUAAUACAUGCAAGUAGAACGCUGAAGAGAGGAGCUUGCUCUUCUUGGAUGAGUUGCGAACGGGUGAGUAACGCGUAGGUAACCUGCCUUGUAGCGGGGGAUAACUAUUGGAAACGAUAGCUAAUACCGCAUAACAAUGGAUGACACAUGUCAUUUAUUUGAAAGGGGCAAUUGCUCCACUACAAGAUGGACCUGCGUUGUAUUAGCUAGUAGGUGAGGUAAUGGCUCACCUAGGCGACGAUACAUAGCCGACCUGAGAGGGUGAUCGGCCACACUGGGACUGAGACACGGCCCAGCCUCCUACGGGAGGCAGCAGUAGGGAAUCUUCGGCGAUGGGGGCAACCCUGACCGAGCAACGCCGCGUGAGUGAAGAAGGUUUUCGGAUCGUAAAGCUCUGUUGUAAGUCAAGAACGGGUGUGAGAGUGGAAAGUUCACACUGUGACGGUAGCUUACCAGAAAGGGACGGCUAACUACGUG